rnacentral:lncRNA from 1 species
GCUGAGGCCACACAGUGAGGAAGAGUCAAGCUUCACUACAGAGGCUUGAACAGAAGUCAGGCUGGUGCCUGUAGAGCACUGGGCACUGUGUGGAAAUCUCACCUCCUUUCAACAGUUUUCUUCUCUAGUCAUCGUGUCUGUGUUCCUACCUGUAACCUCUUCCUGUGCCUACUUGGGUUUGGUUCUGGAGCCAUUGGCCUUGCCCAAGAUGUGUUCUUGGCUGCUCCUGUCCCUGUCAGGCCCUCUCUGUUUUUACCCUGUUCUUAAGAGUAUGUGGCUCACAUGGAAACACACAGUAUCCUAAUAGUUUGUUUUUUGUUGCUGUGAGAAAACACUGAUGAAAAGCAGCUUGAGGAGGAAAAUGGUUUAUUCCGUGAUGGGGAAAUCCUUGUGUGUAUAUGUUUAUCUUAUUGGUUGAUAAAUAAAGCAUUGUUGGCCAAUAGGGGAGCAAGUUAGGUGGGACUAGGAGUUGAGGAGGAUUCUGGGAAAUGUAGUAGAGACAGCAGCCACCACGUGAUCACCAGGAAGACAGGAUAUAUUCCACCAGCGUGCUCAAUAAGAUAAGUUUAUAAAAUAUAUAGAUUAAUAGUUAUGGGUGAUACUUAAGACAGAGUUAGCAAAUAAAUCUUUGUCAUUGGCCAGAGGCACUGUACCUAAUAUAAGACUCAGUGUGUUAUUCUGGACGCCCACGUGGCGGCGGGGCUCGGGUGACGUAGCAGAAAGAUUUAUCAUUACCAAAUGGUGUCAGGACAUGGUUUUAUGAACUUCCACAUAAAAACUUCACAAAAACUUAAAAAGGGAAUUUAGAAGCAAAGGAACAGAGACAAGCACUACUUCUUGGUAGUGGUAUUUUCUCGGGUAGUCUCUGUUUUGCUAGAGACAAGCAGAUACUCAAGUGGCUCCUUUAAGAGAGGCUUCCUGACUCAGCAUAAUUGGAAAAAAAAGAAAACAAAAACAAAAAACCACAGGGCUCUUGCUAACAAUUGAAUGGUAUGUAUGAGCAGCUGGCAGUGGCAGCAACCACAUCUCCAAGCCGAAAGCGUGUUCCUUGAUGACAGCAUAGACCAAGGCAGUGAGCAUAGCUCUCAGUGCUGGCGGUAAACAUACCUUCGCCAUCUUGGAAAGACAUCCACUAAAGCAGCCACUGCUUUAAUUUUAGCAAUGCUGUUUAGCAGAUAAAAGAUCGUGUAGCCAGAAAAAGGUAAAGAUUUACAGUAAAGACAGAUUCAGAUGAAGAAAAACUCCUAAAGGUUUACAGUGUAUUUAAAAAUAUAUGUAGGCUUGUGAGAGAAAAGAACAGGAUAAAGUAAUUGAGAGAGAGAGAGAGAGAGAGAGAGAAGAGAGAGAGAGAGAGAAAGAGAAGCCAGUGGUGGUGGCACACGCCAGUAGGAUUUGCUGAAGGAAGCAGAGGCAGGCGGAUUUCCACGGAGAAACCUUGUCUCAGGGGGGGGAAAAAAAGGAAGUAAAAGAAAUAGAAUAUUAAAAAGCCAGGUAAAGAUGGAAAAUACUCACAGAGUCUGGAUACUAUAUGUUAUACUGUUGUCUUUAAAUUGUUUGAUUGCCGAGGAAAGAGCUACAGCUGAUAAAACACAUUUGAUUAUAAGUGCUACUCAAUUAGUCCAACUUAUAUAUUUUUAAAAUGCUUUGACUUCUAAAUUUAAAUAUAAGGACAGGUUACUUGGGAGAAGAAUUUCUACUUACGUUUCCACAUAAAAUGGAAAGCUGUGGAUUCCUUCCAGACUAAUUUGGUUUGAUCAAGCAAGACCCCCUGAAGCAGUGGCCCAACCGAUCCUACAUCCAAAACAGCUGAGACGAUGCAGCCUUGCAGACUACAAAAACAAGGAACUGGCCUGAUUUCUGUGUUUUAUCAUGAUCCCCCAUGGUGUGGACAUCACCCCCAACCAGCAGGAAGCAGUUUGGAACGAACGAUGCCCAAGUUCCCAAAUAUUGUUUAUAAAUGUUUGUUUUCAUUUAAAUAGGGUUGGUUAUAAAUGGUAAUGAUCACAGUCAAUCUCUUUUUAAAGGAAAAAAGGGGAAUAGAAUAUAGAAAUGAAUACAUUGGUAUGGAUUUUCAUUUAUUGAUACAAAUUUAAGGUUAAUUUUGUUAUAUGUAAAUUUCUCCUCUUGUUUGGUAUUGUGUUUAUACAGAUCUUUUAAAAUGUAAUGUAUAAUUAAAUGCAAAUUAUAUAGUCACCUAUAAUAGUCAGAACUUAUAAUUAGGUUAGUUAGGUUUUCUAGCUAUAGAGAGAUGUGUUUGAGAUGGAUAGACAAAGACCUACAGAAUAUAUGGCAUUUAAAUGGUUUAGGGUUUUUCAUGGCAGUGAGACACAACUGCUCCUGGCACACCAAUUACAUCUGAGAGGAAGAUGGGCAUUGAAGAAACUCAUUAUGGAGUUUGCUUUCAAUGUGGCAAGAUUAGCCAUUUGGGCAAGAAACUGCUCUUGUCUGGACUGUUUGAUAAACUGGACAUGCAGGACCCACAGGAAAGUGACUGCUGAACUUAGAAAACAAGAUGGAAAGUUGUGAAGAGUCCCUGCUUCAAGGAAGCAUCUGCCAGACAUUCUGCAGGACACAGAGGAAAUUGGCUGACAAACUGCCAAUACAGGUGGACAGUUUAAAAUUUCCUGCUUCACUGAGAAGUCUGCCAGACAUACUGUGGCCUAUAGACUGAAGACAGGAUAAAUUCCAUCAGUGUGCCCCAACGUUACAAAGGAACUUCGGGUCACUGUCCAGGCAGCGAGAUAUCUCUGUCAGUUCUAGAGUUUAUUUAUUAUCCUUCUGUGGUCUUUGUUGGAGUUGAAGACAGAUAGUUAUGGUUAUAGUUUUCUUUAGUUAUUAUAAAAGAUAAGCUACAUAUAAGACUUUAGACUCACAAAGAUGGGAUAGAUGAUAGAAUAUUUUCUUUAAAUCUUGCUAAAUGUUAAUGGACUAAAUAUUGUAACUAUAGUUCUUACUUGAUAACUGUUUUGUUAUAUAUUUUACUAUGUUAAUGUUAACACCCUUCUUUUUACUUAGACAGAAAAGAGAAAAUUAUGGGGGAGGUCCUUGUGUGUAUAUGUUUGUCUUAUUGGUUGAUAAAUAAAGCACUGUUGGCCAAUAGGAGAGCAAGUUAGGUGGGACUAGGAGUUGAGGAGGAUUCUGGGAAAUGUAGUAGAGACAGCAGCCACCAUGUGAUCACCAGGAAGACAGGAUAUAUUCCACCAGUGUGCUCAAUAAAAUAAGUUUAUAAAAUAUAUAGAUUAAUAGUUAUGGGUGAUACUUAAGACAGAGCUAGCAAAUAGGAAAUCUUAGUCAUUGGCCAGUAGCAUUGUACCUAAUACAAGACUCUGUGUGUUAUUUUGGACACCCACAUGGCGGCAGGGCUUGGGCAGCUUGGCAGAAAGAUUUAUCAUUACAAUUCCGUCUUACAGCAUACUGUCCAUCAUCCAGGGAAGCUAAGGCAAACCCAGAGGCAAGAACAGAAGCAGAGGCCAUGGAGGAUAAUGCUCACUGGCUGCCUCAGCUUGUUCACUUAUACAAGCCAGGGCCACCUGCCAGGGGUCACACUAUCCACAUCAAUCAUUAAUCAAGAAAAUGCCCCCCUCAGACUUGCUCACUGGCCAAUCUGAUGGAGGCAACCCCUCAAGGAAGGGGUCCACUUUCCCAGGCAUCAGGUUGAAAAAACCAACCAGCACACACAGGCUAUCAAAUGCAUGGCUAAUUCUACAUGAGAAGUCCACCAACUAUAUGUUAAGAGUUGUCUUUGUCAUGGUCUGUGGUUUAGAGCACUUAAUUGCUCUUGCAGAGGGCCCAAGUUCGAGUCCCAGCACCCACAUGGUGGCUCAAAACUGUCUGCAACUCCAGUUCCAAGGGAUCCAGUGCCCUCCCCUGACCUCUGUGAGCAGCAGCAGCUUGGUCCUUUCCUGCAGCCUUCCUGCCAGAGCACAUCCAUCAUCCGCAAACAUCUCAUCGCUCUCCCGCCACAGGAAGCGACCUGUGUCCUGUUGCCCCUCAGCCAAAGCACCUGCCAGGCUGCAUUAGGAGAGAGGCCAGCAUGGGACAUUUAGGAGAUUACUGAAGAUUGAACCCAGAGACCCAGCAGGGAUGAAGACUUUCCCUCUUCCUCCAGUGAACUUCAGGCCCAGAGCACUUAUAGCAGCUGAGGCUACAUUGUCAUCACCCAUCCUUCCAGACAGAUGAGGUGGCCUGCUGUGGAGAGCCACAGCCCUAAGAUGGCACUUGGCUGGAUGCCAGGAGCUUAGCUGUAAACAAGCCUUAUUUGGAAGUGCUUGAGGCAUCUGGCGCACUUCCUCCUUCUGUGGCCUAUCCGGGAUUGCCAGAUGGCAUGAGCUGACUGGGCACUGAGCAUCUACUUAAGGGCUUGCGGGGGCUGGGAGAAGAGAGAAGCUGAUGUACAAGGUUCCUGAAUAAACGGCUUGAAGAAGAGUCGUGGUCGUGUUUCUCUUGCUGGUCGAGAUAGAAGCGACGGCCUGUUACGAUAAAUCUUUCUGCCAAAGCCGCCUGAGCCCCACCGCCACAC